GGAUAAUGCAAGUGUUUAACAGAUGCUUCACUAUUAAAAUAUUUUCCCCCCAAGUCUCAAAUAUUGAAGAAUCUCUAACCAGGUACAGUAUCACUCUGCUCUCUUUUCUGGUUGAAAAGAAAAAAAGAAAGAAAACGCAGGUAUUGCUUUUCGAAGUGCUUUGUAGGUAAUCGAGGGACACCAGUCCCAACGAAGACCUUGGGCGAUUUCAAAGUGCGGGCACCUCGAUUCCCCGAAUCUGUAGUGUGGCUGGUAUCGGUGUUUCCCUGGUUUAACUAGCCUGCUUGAAGGCGCAGAUCAUUCAUGGGGAAGUAAAACCGAAACCAGUCCUCUCCACCCCCUGCGGGUCUUCACUUUCCCAGUCUACAUCUGCCUGUGACUCCAGAAAGACAAACUGCAGAUUGGCCAAGAUGGAUUAAGCUGGAAUAAUAAAGUGUAUCUAUGAGAUGAUUUCUGUAAACUCUGACUUGCUGAGAAAAAAGUGAAAAAGCUUUUUCUGGAAGAAACAUGGCAACUUAACCAUUAUUAAUCUGGACUAAAUAAAACAGGAAACUGCUUCUUUA
rnacentral:antisense_RNA from 1 species